UGAUGUGUCAACCUUCUGACAGCACUUUCCUGCUCCAGGCAACUUUACCUUGCUUUUUAGUGCUGGAUGAACCAACAUCACUCUAUACUGAAGAACACCUUGACUGCAUCCAGAUUUUUGGCAACUAUUGAGUAAAAGUGCUGUAAACAUU